rnacentral:rRNA from 1 species
UACGAAGGGGGCUAGCGUUGCUCGGAAUCACUGGGCGUAAAGCGCACGUAGGCGGCUUUCUAAGUCAGGGGUGAAAUCCUGGAGCUCAACUCCAGAACUGCCUUUGAUACUGGAGAGCUUGAGUCCGGAAGAGGUGAGUGGAACUCCGAGUGUAGAGGUGAAAUUCGUAGAUAUUCGGAAGAACACUAGUGGCGAAGGCGGCUCACUGGUCCGGUACUGACGCUGAUGUGCGAAAGCGUGGGGAGCAAACAGG